rnacentral:rRNA from 1 species
UACGGGGGGGGCAAGCGUUGUUCGGAAUUACUGGGCGUAAAGGGCUCGUAGGCGGCCAACUAAGUCAGUUGUGAAAUCCCUCGGCUUAACCGGGGAAUUGCGUCUGAUACUGGAUGGCUUGAGUUUGGGAGAGGGAUGCGGAAUUCCAGGUGUAGCGGCGAAAUGCGUAGAUAUCUGGAGGAACACCGGUGGCGAAGGCGGCAUCCUGGACCAACACUGACGCUGAGGAGCGAAAGCCAGGGGAGCAAACGGG